rnacentral:rRNA from 1 species
AGUGAACGCUGGCGGUAGGCCUAACACAUGCAAGUCGAACGGCAGCACAGUAAGAGCUUGUUCUUACGGGUGGCGAGUGGCGGACGGGUGAGGAAUACAUCGGAAUCUACUUUUUCGUGGGGGAUAACGUAGGGAAACUUACGCUAAUACCGCAUACGACCUACGGGUGAAAGCAGGGGAUCUUCGGACCUUGCGCGAUUGAAUGAGCCGAUGUCGGAUUAGCUAGUUGGCGGGGUAAAGGCCCACCAAGGCGACGAUCCGUAGCUGGUCUGAGAGGAUGAUCAGCCACACUGGAACUGAGACACGGUCCAGACUCCUACGGGAGGCAGCAGUGGGGAAUAUAGGACAAUGGGCGCAAGCCUGAUCCAGCCAUACCGCGUGGGUGAAGAAGGCCUUCGGGUUGUAAAGCCCUUUUGUUGGGAAAGAAAAGCAGCAGGUUAAUACCCCGCUGUUCUGACGGUACCCAAAGAAUAAGCACCGGCUAACUUCGUG